AUGCAUAUUAAUUAUUUGGUAAAACAUCAGACUUGCUGAUAUGAAAAGAAGACACUCCCAUCCUGUAACAACUUCCUAAAAAGCAGUGUUGAUUCAAUUACUAGAAAAAACAAUCCUUUGUACAAAGGUUGCACUCAUUGAUGGUUCAUAUGUGACAAAAAGCAAACAUCUAUUACCAUUGUUAACAACAUAUCAAUGCUUACUAUAUAAAAAUGGGAUAUGGUUGAAAGCCCUUGUGUUGCAGUAUCUAAUGCCUAAGCUCUGGUGCUCCACCUUCAAGUCAACAUUUGGUGAGAUGAAGAAAUUGUGUUGACCCUUUCUUUUACUGUGAUUGCACUUGUGACUUGUUGUGGAGUUUAGAUCAGACCAAUCAAGAUGAGUAGUGGACAAAACACAGUAACUUUGCACAUUAACACAUAAAAUACAAAUAAAUUGAAAGGCACUGCUGCAAGUUUUGUUCCAUUAUCUCUUCCUUAGUUGCUGCAGGCUGGCACACAAAAAAGGUUGAGGCCCAAAUUCUUCUAAUAGUUUCCAGAAAGAUCAAGUUAUAGGCAGUGUCACAGGGAAACUGAUAAAGUAGAGUUUUCAUUUGUUUCCAUUUGAUUUGAAAAAAAAAAAAUUCCAAUGCAAACCAGCGCUGUAUCUAUCUUCUGCUCUGAUAAAUCCCUGCUCUCUGUCAUUUUCAUCUGCCUCACAGAUUCCUUUUUCAAUGGUGGAGUUCAACCGAGACGACCUUUUAAAUGAGAUCAGGACUCCUGGUGAUGAUGACUCCGCUCCUUGCACCCUCCCCAAUGGGCUUCUAGCUUCCUGCUUGACUUCCUGUUGUUGUGCGUCAGACAUUCAUAUUUCAUUGAGGAUUCAGCAGGGGGGUUAUCAUCAGCACUGACUCCAGGCCCAGCUUGUAGCUGUAUUCAGUGAAGCACCAUAUACCUCCCUAACACCAGACAACACACAGCGUGUGCAUCCAGCAGCAAAAGGAAUUCAUGGAAAUAAUAUUGGACUUAACCCAACUAGCAUGAUGGAAUAAUAGUGCUCUGUAUCUGCUUUAUGUGAAAAUAAGAAUAUGUAAAUAACUAUUUGCUGACAUGGUUGUAAUAUCAAUUUAAAACCUUGUGAGUCACAUUCAAUUAUUAAAAACUUGUCAAACUCAUGAAUUCAUGAAUAUGAGUUUAACAGUGUUUGUUAUACCGGUUGUUUCAUCCCAGAGCAGAACAAUAAGGACAACCCUAGUGGUGUUCCUAAAUAUCUUGAGACAUAUCAGGAAUCUGCUUUGUGGCAGUUUAUCGUGACAUUUCGACAUUGUUCGGUUAACAGCAGCAACAAGACAAAAAAUUCUCCUUCUGUUUCAGUUUUUAAGCCAUUGUCAGAAUGUGGUGAUUAUACAGUAGUGGGCUUAUUAGGGUUCGGUUUAGAUUGCGAUCUGUUGCCAUUUGUAAAUCUAUUCAAAUUUGUUUCUGUUCUCUGCAAUCGCCUCUUCCCACAUUCAGUUACUCUUGGAUUAGAGGAGGUGAUUUCUCUCUUUGAUUUGUUUCUCCCAGGACGUCUCCUAUAGUCAAACAAAUGAGCUGAGCUAUUUUCAGAAGUAAAUUUGUCUUUGUCAUCUUUAAGUUUAGAACUGUUUGUGUUGUGGGUCUGUCAAGCCCACUGAGACUUGUGUGAUGUUCAGGCUAUAUAUGGAGAGAAAUAAAAGCUUAGUUUUUCAAAGCAGCUGGCUGAAACGGA